rnacentral:tRNA from 1 species
GCCGGAGUGGUGAAACUGGUAGACGCAGAGGACUCAAAAUCCUCCGAGCCCUGGCGCUCAUGAGAGUUCGAUUCUCUCCUCCGGCA